GAGAAAGGCAGCGACCGGGCUUCUUCCAGCAGAGCCCACGCUUUUGUAAGAGCAGCUCCACCCCCUGCUAGCUCGUGAAUUCUCAAUGCCCAGAAGAGCCCCUGCAUAUCUGUUCCCGCCGAUGUUAAUGCAACUACCUGCAGUAGUAAAUACUGCCCCAACUAAUGGGUUUUGCAGGGCUGAGAUGAGAUUCAGCGGCUCCAAGCAUUCAGCCCGCGCUCUGGCUCCGCUCUGAGCAUCCGCAAGGCCCCGAGGUCGGCACGGCUUUGCUUGAGCAAAGCAGCUCCUGGGGGUGCCGCGGCCACUUCCCCCUCCCUGCACACGCCAACAGGUGUUGACUUUGAACAAACAAAGCCAGGGCCAUACCGUUUAUGAAUUGUGUCCUAGCCUAGAGGUGCCGCAGACUUCCCAGGUGAGCACACGCUGAUCACAGCUCCAACUGCUGUCCUAACGACUGAAUUAAGAUCAAUUCACCGGGCUUUGGAUGAGGUCGGACUACUUGGUAUACAAAUCCCAUCCUUUGGCACUGCUCAGGGACGACAGGCUCUUCGGAGCGAGCACAGCAUACGGUGGGUAGGGCAGGAUGCAGGCACAGGCGGAUUGUAUCACCUCCCCGCGCUUCCGUGGGCAGAAAAGGGGCGGAAGGCAGGCAGGAACUUCAUUCAAACAUCCUGAAACUCACGGCCAUACAAACACCCUGACUUGCUUUAAAUGAUCGCUUUUGUGUGAAGAGCAAAUUGACUUUAAAGUGACUUCAAGAGAAUGAUUAAAAUUGUUCAUUGCGUCUUGGCCACCUACGUUCUCCUUGCACACAAGAGGGUUCAUUUGUUUGUUUGGGGCUGGUUUUGGCAGCUGAGCAUAACGAGAGGGCAAGCCUCUUCUUUCACAUCUCCAUCCUAUAUGCAUCACCACCUAGAGUAGUGCUCCAGAUUUAGAAAGGCAAAAGAAGACAAUAUGCAAGUUAAAUCUUAGCAUGGCAGGAAACUACUUCUCCGCAAUAACGCUACUGGCUAUUUUCUAAAAUAAGGGUUUAUAGCACAUGGCACCCAAAUAAUUUGGGAUUCUUAAACAAACAAAUGGAAUCUUGCACGAGAACUCUUCAAAAACCAACCGUGUCCAUUCGCCAUCCAGGAUGGAGAGCAGGUGGAGAAGAGAGCAGCAAGAUGGAGAAUUAAAACUUUACUAAAAAGUAAAGAAUAAAACAGCCACCCUUUGAUUUCUGUCCCAACAUUAACCCCCACCCCCUGAUCAACCAUGUUAAAAACAUCUCAAAAGCAGACAGUUGUCUGCAUGUGCUAGUUACAGACAGGCUGAACUUCUGAUUAUAAACACACGGCCUGCACUGUGUCAUUUACUAAAAUUUGGGUGGAAAUGGGGAUCAGUGGGUAUGGAGGUAGUUGGAGAUGAGGAGAUGUUACCAUCUGACAGACUGACAUCCUCAGCCUACAAUACAUAAAGUCACUCUGACGAUUUGAGUUUUGGUGUGAGGCUGGAGUCAAUAGCAGAGGCAUGCAGAUAUGACAUUGGACGUAAAAACCAA